rnacentral:rRNA from 1 species
AUGGACGCGACGCCGGAGGAGUUCGAGCCGCUCUCGCCGUCCCUCUUCCUCGACCUGCCGCCCACCCCGCCCCCCGCCGCGGACGUCGACCUCGACUUCAUCUCGCGCAUGCUCAUGGAGGAGGACAUUGACGACAAGUUCUUCUACCAGUACCCCGACCAGCCCGCCAUCCUCGACGCCCAGCGCCCCUACGAGCAGAUCAUCUCCGACACCACCACCUCCUCCUCCGGCUCCCCCAACGGCACCACCUCCUCCGACGGCAACGCCAUCAGCAGCAGCAACGCCGCAACGUCCUCCUCCGAGGAGACCAACAACUCCUCCUGGCCCUACGACCCGCUCGAGCUCUCCCAGCUCCUCCGCUCCCCGCCCUACCUCGACGACAUGGUGUUCGGCGGCCUCGUCCCCGAUUCCCCCGCCGACGAGGAUGCCAGGAGCUCGUUCCUUGCUGACGCCCCGGCUGCGGGGUUCCAGCAGAGCCCGACGCAACUCAUGGGCGCGGCCGACGGGGCCGGCGCGUUCUUCGGCCAGAACGGCGGCAGCCCGGGCACCCAGAGUUCGGCAGUCUUAAAUGGCCCGGCGGAGGAGAAGGGGGCCGAGCGGAAGCCGGCGAUGUUUUCCGCUGGCGACGGUGGCCAGGUCGGGCUGCUCUCGGCCUUCUUCAGCAACGGUGGCGACAUGGACAUGCUCAACUCGGCUUUCCUCAAGGGCAUGGAGGAGGCCAACAAGUUCUUGCCGACCAACAACACCCUCCUCGAGGCCACCCCCGGCAAGGAGCGCGGCUCCACCGUCAAGAAGGAGGAGGCGGCGAAUGGGACACCGCCGUCCGGCAAUGGCCGGGGCCGCAGGUACAGGUACGACGAGGACGACCUGGAGGCGGAGACCACCAGGAGCAGCAAGCUGAUGAUGCCGGACAUCGAGGAAACUGGCGCGCGCGAGAUGUUCGACGAAAUAAUGCUGGAGGGGUACGAGACGUGCAUGCAGGGGAUAGAGGAGCUGCGCCUCGCCAUGGACAAUGAGGCCAAGAAGAAGAGCGGGAAGGCGGCGCGCGCGAAGAAGAGCGAGGCGGUCGACCUGCGCACCAUGCUCGUCCACUGCGCGCAGGCCGUGGCCGCGGGCGACCGCCGGGGCGCGACGGAGCUGCUGAGGCAGAUCAAGCAGCACUCCGGGCCGACGGGAGACGCCACGCAGAGGCUGGCGCACUGUUUCGCGGAGGGGCUGGAGGCGCGGCUGGCGGGCACGGGGAGCCAGGUCUACCAGUCGCUGGUGGCCAAGCGCACCUCGGUGGUGGAGUUCCUCAAGGCGUACAAGCUGUUCAUGGCGGCCUGCUGCUUCAAGAAGGCCAACUUCGGGUUCGCCAACAAGACCAUUCUGAACGCCGUGGCCGGGAAGCGCCGGCUGCACAUCGUGGACUUCGGGGUGCAGUACGGGCUCCAGUGGCCGGGCCUGAUGCGGUGGCUGGCGCAGAGGGACGGCGGGCCGCCGGAGGUGAGGAUCACGGGCGUCGACCUCCCGCAGCCCGGGUUCCGCCCGGCGCGCCAGGUCGAGGAGACGGGCCGCCGGCUCAGCAGCUGCGCCCGCGAGCUGGGCGUGCCGUUCAAGUUCCACGGCGUGACGGCCAGGUGGGACACCGUGCGCGGCGAGGACCUGGGCAUCGACCCGGACGAGGUGUUCGUGGUGCACUGCCAGUGCGGCCUCCGGAACCUGAUGGACGACAGCGUCGCGGUGACCACGGGCGGCCCGAGCCCGAGGGACGUGGUGCUGCGGAACAUCCGGGACAUGAGGCCCGACGUGUUCGUGGAGUGCGUGGCGAACGGCGCGUACGGCGCGCCCUUCUUCGUGACGCGGUUCAGGGAGGCCAUGUUCUUCUACUCGGCGCACUUCGACAUGCUGGACGCGACCAUCCCGCGGGACAACGACGUGCGGCUGCUGAUCGAGCGGGACCUCAUCGGGCCGGGCGCGCUGAACGUGAUCGCCUGCGAGGGCGCGGACCGGGUGGAGCGCCCGGAGACGUACAGGCAGUGGCAGGUGCGGAACCGCCGGGCGGGGCUCCGGCAGCUGCCGCUGGACCCGGAGGUGGUCGGGAUGGUGAGGGAGAAGGUGAGGGAGCACUACCACAAGGACUUCCUCAUCGACGUGGAUCACCAGUGGCUGCUGCAGGGGUGGAAAGGCAGAGUGCUCUACGCUCUCUCCACAUGGGUCGCCGACCAUGAUAGCUAG